rnacentral:rRNA from 1 species
AUUGAACGCUGGCGGCAGGCCUAACACAUGCAAGUCAGGCGAGCGGCGGACGGGUGUGUAAUGUAUGGGGAUCUGCCUGAUGGAGGGGGCUAACUACUGGAAACGGUAGCUAAUGCCGCAUACCGUCAGAUGAACCCAUAUGGGAUUAGCUGUUAGGUAAGGUAACGGCUUACCUAGGGGACGAUCCAUAGCGGGUCUGAGGGGAUGAUCAGCCGCACUGGGACUGAGCCACGGCCCAGACUCCUACGGGAGGCAGUAGUGGGGAAUAUGGCACAAGUGGCGCAAGCCUGAGGCAGCCAUGCCGCGUGUAUGAAGAAGGCCUGCGGGUUGUAAAGUACUUUCAGCGAGGAGGCGUUACUCGCAGAAGAAGCACCGGCUAACUCCGUGCCAGCAGCCGCGGUAAUAC